rnacentral:misc_RNA from 1 species
GGAAGGAUCAUUAUCGUUAAACCGAGGCGCGACGGCUGUCGCUGACCUUCCCCGGUCGUGCACGCCCGAGCCCCUCUCACAAUCCAUCUCACCCUUUGUGCAUCACCGCGUGGGUCCUCCUUUGCCGGAGGGUCCGCGUCUUUACACAAAACUCGAUACAGUGUAGAAUGUUUAUUUUCGCGCUCGCACGCGAUCAAUAAUACAACUUUCAACAAC